CUUGCCCCCUGCACCAUUGACUCAUCCUCCUCCCCUCACAGUCGGGGAUCAUGAAGGACCGCCUGAGACAGAAGGCCGCCCACUCCUCAGAUUUCCCCACCAGAGUCUCAGUGACAUUAAAGAGCAAAUAAACACAAACGGGAACAUGGAAGAAGGAAAAUGCUCUCCGUCAGUGCCUCCACAUUUUCAUUGCUGCUUGCUGACGAGUGGGACCACGAUGAGGUAGGAAGCCCCAUUCCUGGGGCAGGAGAAUUGAAGUCUGGAAUGCAGCUGCUGGAGGUAACACUUGACCUGGGUCUUGAAAUGUAUAGGAGUCUCCAGGCAGAUCAGGCCAUCCGAAAUGAGCAGAAGGAAAAGCAAAGCUCCUACCUGGGCGUAUGAACACAUGUCUUUGUCUGGCUGCUGCGCGAUCCUGGAAUUUGUAAGAAACAUGUGCUUGGUCUUCAUCCACAGUUCCUGGCCCACAGCUCCCAAACCUUGGGGUCUCCUGGCCAAUAAGAGCAAUGGGGGUGUCUUUGUUAUAAUGUUUGGUCCCUUGUCCUCAGUUCCUAGGGUCACUUCAAAGCCAUAAAGAUGAAAUUGUUGUCGAAUGA